rnacentral:rRNA from 1 species
ACUCCUACGGGAGGCAGCAGUGGGGAAUAUUGCACAAUGGGCGCAAGCCUGAUGCAGCCAUGCCGCGUGUGUGAAGAAGGCCUCGGUUGUAAAGCACUUUCUAGUCGUGAGGAAGGCGGGUACGGUUAAUAGCGUAUUCGUUUGUACGUUAGUCGACAGAAGAAGCACCGGCUAACUCCGUGCCAGCAGCCGCGGUAAUACGGAGGGUGCGAGCGUUAAUCGGAAUUACUGGCGUAAAGCGCAUGCAGGUGGUUUGUUAAGUUCAGAUGUGAAAGCCCGGGGGCCAACCUCGGAAUAGCAUUUGAACUAGGCAGACUAGAGUACUGUAGAGGGGGUUAGGAAUUUCAGGUGUAGCGGUGAAAUGCGUAGAGAUCUGAAGGAAUACCGGUGGCGAAGGCGGCCCCUCGGACAGAUACUGACACUCAGAUGCGAAAGCUGGGGAGCAACAGGAUUAGAUACCCUGGUAGGAUAGCG